GGGGGGGGGGGGGGGGGGGGGUGUCGCCAUGCCUCUCCUUUGUCCUGACUGGUGGAGUUGAGCAUGGGCUGGGCCCUGGGGUGCUCGAGGAUUGGCCACCUGGGUAGUCCAUCAAAGGCUGACGCGGGGAAGGGUGACCAUUUGGGGAGGAAGUAAAGAUUAUUUUGGUACCUCCUCCCCAAGUUAUUGAUUGGUGGAGGUUUGCCGUGAUGAAAACAGGGCAUAAAAAUAUCCGUAAAGGUACAGGGCCGAUUGGCCGGUCUCUCAGGGAGGAAUUCUAGGGCGGACUGUGAAGAGCCAGCCCAGGCUGUUUUUGUAGGGGAGGACCAAAUGGGUUGACACCCGGAAAUGAGUUAGGAAGGGAACUCAGGGAAAGCGGGGGAAACCGGCUCACCUACUUUGCCCUCACAAAGGUCAUUUCCUGCGUGGGAUCGAUAGUUUCCUGUUUACUUACUCCUCGGGAGGGAGCGUGUGCACUGGCUUCCUGCAAUGUACUCGAUAUUCACACUUAACUUUUGAGCCCAGGCUUCCCUUUUAGUCACAGUACCAACGAGAAUGAAUGAGAUGGUGAAAAGGAAACGUAUUGGGUUUAUUUCCAUGUAGAGAACGAAAAUGGAGUGGGGCUGGAGAUUGUCUUCCUGCACGCAAGAAGACAAAACUAGGCGUAAUAGCGUACACCUGUGAUCCCAGCUUUUGAGGAGGUGAAAGCAGGAUGUUCAGAAGCUGAAAGUCAUCCUCGACUACAUAGAGAGUUAGAAGCAAGUCUGGAUUAAAUUUGAAGAUGGGGGAGGGAGUUCUUGAUGGUUGAAAGUGAAAAGAACUGGAAAUAACCCAGCUUGGUGACUCACCCCUUUAAUCCUGGAGUUUGGGAGACUGGCAAGCUAAUUUCUGAAUGUGAGGCUAGCCUGCUCAAACAAAGCGAGAUCCAGGACCGUCCAGUUAGACGCAAAAAAAAAAAAGUCUGUAAAAAGCGUUUCUCUGAAACUUUUCUUUACCCUCUUGGGUCCCACCCGGGACAGGCAGUGAAUACACAGGUGGUUGACGCUCUGCUGAAGGAAGAGGACAAAGUGUGAGAGGGAAAUAUUAUUUUUAAAGGUGCCUUUGUAUAUCUUACGAAACCUCCCCACUUUUUAAAUUCUCACUUAACCACUUGGGUUAAUUCACCUGUAACUUCAGAAAUGGGUGUCUUCCGGAGUCUUCCAGGAAAGCUCCCAGGGAAAGCAAAAUGCUUGUUUUCAUGGAAACCGGAACACCAUAGCCCAGGGGUCAGUCUGACCUCACUGUGUAAGGGAGGCUGUAUUUCAAGGUGCCACCUCUCUUGCUCUACGAUUAAAGGCUUAUACCACAGUCCCUCUUUUUUAUAAAGUGCUGGGGAUGAAACUUCAAGCAUGCUAGGCAAGCACUUUACUAAUCCAGUCUCUACUGGUUAGGGUUUUGGUUUUCCUUCAUACCCAGAGGCCUUUAAAAUUCGAAGCAAGAUUACCCCUCAAGCUACUUUCCUGAACAAUGAAAGGCGCAAUGUGAUGGAAAACUCUCCUCUACAGUCAGUGCCGCGGCUCUUCUUGGCCAUACUAGGAAUGGGCGGCAGUGGAAUGGGCAGCAGUGGAAUGGGCAGCAGUGGCAGCAGCUCUUGCUUCUGUGUAGUGGCCUUGACUGCCCAGAGAGAGCUCCUUAUAUACUCGAGCCCAAGCUCCCGUGAUCCUCCUGGAUUGGUUCCCCGGCAAUCACCUCAUUAGCAUACACCUGCUUGGGAGAGGUGCUGUGCAGCAUACGCCCGCUGGGGAGACACCUGCAUGAGCCCGCUCGGGAGGGGUGCAUGCGCUGCCACCGCUGGAGUCUUGGAUUUGAUCCAAUUAUACAUAUUUAUGCCAAAGGAAACAAAAAUGUUGAAUUUUUCAAGAAUUUUAAGAAUGUUUAAGAAAUACUUUAUUUCUAGUGAUGUUAAAUAAACCACGCAAAAAAACAAAAACUUCUUUUUGGUUAAUUAUAAAUAAACUCAGCAUAAUCAGUUUGGUUUUCAUUUUACCCAGUAAACCAAAGUUGAAACUUUUGGAAAUGUCAGGGCAGAAGAGUUAGCAAUUCGGAGCCAAGAACCAAGCCUAAGAAAAUUGUUCUAAUCACAAAUCCAAGUCCACUGACAUGGGCAGUAUUGUUUUAUUCCCUGUGGUACUGGGAAGCUAG